AUUGUUACCGAUAGUGGAAGUAGGUUUCAGUUUGAACAAGAGGACAGAAACAAAAUAUACAAGUGUGACAUACAGGUCCUUGAACGGCAAAACUUCGACCAUCACUGCGACGGCACCGGUGUCUGCGCUGAUCGUCAAGAGGAAGAUGGUGGCGUCGAUGGCGUUCGUGAUGGUAAUACUACGACUACCUUUUGUGAGGACGAUGACUUCAACGACGAGGACUCUGAUGACGAAGAUGAUGAUAAAAGUGACGAUGAAAGUCAAAUCUCUCACUCUACGCCCAAUGGCAAUGACGAGCCAUCUGAUGAAGAUAAUGCCAAGCUAAUUAUCCAGCAAAAAGGCGGCUACAGUUCUCAACAACAUUUGACAUUAAAAUAUGCCUGCAAAGUGGACUUUUUAAGAGAACAAAUAUAUAAAGCAACAGCAAAGCAUUAUAAUUUAUGCCCAAAGAAGAUUGAUACUUUUUACAUAACUCUGGCUCUUAACAAAGUAGAUAAACGACUCA
rnacentral:sRNA from 1 species